AAGAUGUAGCGGAGUCGGAAGUGGAGGGUUCAACCACAAGGUUCGUUUCUCGGCAUGAUGCAAAUGCUGGGGAGUUGCAAGAUCAAAGAAGGCAUAAUGGUUUGCCAGAAAAUGAAUUUAAGCAUGGCAUCAAAUUUGGGACGCUGUUCUCAGUCGAACCAUCGAAUGUCAUGAGCAUGUCUUACCAGUUCCCAGUGAAAGAU
rnacentral:lncRNA from 1 species